rnacentral:lncRNA from 1 species
CUCUCUCUCUCCCUCCCUCUAACUUUUUCUUUUUUCUAACUUAAUUUCUCUCUCUAUCCUUUUCUCUCCUUUGGCUUUCUCUCUCUCCGUUUUAUUUAUUUAUUUUUUUUAUUUUUUACUUUAUCCUCUAGUCUUUUCUCCCUGGUACAUUCGCCCAUUCACACAUACACACACACCCCAAAAAAAUAGCUAAUAUAUAUAUAUAUUUUUUGAUAUAGAUAGCAUACUAUUCGAUUCGUUUAUUUUAUUUAAAAAUAAAUUUAGCUGAAAAUAUGAAUCAAUUAUGAUUCGAACUUGAAAUUUGGGCACCAACAACCAAGUUCUUUGCCACUUGCUCUAAAAAUGGUUGGUAACUAACAUUACAUUAGAAUGUCCGAAGACCCUAACGGGGUAAGUCUCGCAUUGAUGGCGGCAGUAAUGACCGAAGAGAAGGCCUUAAAUGCCCGCAAUAAUGUCCGAAGACCACAAAUGACACGUUAACCCUAUCCUAUUUUACACUGUAAUACCAAUUUCCUAUUCCUAUAAAUAAUAUAUCAUUUAUAUUUAUAUAACUUAUCAUAUUAAAAUUUUAAAUA